rnacentral:rRNA from 1 species
UACGUAGGGUGCGAGCGUUGUCCGGAUUUAUUGGGCGUAAAGAGCUCGUAGGCGGCUUGUCGCGUCGACCGUGAAAACUUGGGGCUCAACCCCAAGCCUGCGGUCGAUACGGGCAGGCUCGAGUUCGGUAGGGGAGACUGGAAUUCCUGGUGUAGCGGUGAAAUGCGCAGAUAUCAGGAGGAACACCGGUGGCGAAGGCGGGUCUCUGGGCCGAUACUGACGCUGAGGAGCGAAAGCGUGGGGAGCGAACAGG